rnacentral:lncRNA from 1 species
AGCUAAUAACAUUGUAAAAACCCCAAAACAGAUGGGGCUAAUCCUGCAAAUGAAAUCAACUUCAAUGUUAUAUUUCUAUUUUUAAUUUUAUUUUCAUGUCUAUCAGAGAUAGCAUUUUUCACAAUGCAGUUACUCAUCUUAGGUUGGAGUUUGGAUGAUGAGAUGAGUAAAAUGUUUACAGGUCUUCACUGAAUCAGGUUCUUGGAAUGAAACAUAUGUGUCUAUUCUGUUUUAUUUUUUUAAAAUAAUAUGUUUAAUUAUAAUAUUUAUGAUCUAGCAAAUCUGACGCAGAAAUAAAAUUCCCUGUGGAGACAAGUAUUGCAAAGAUAGUGUUCAGCAGGAGCAGCAGUUAAGAACAGAACCACAGUUUUAGAUGCAGAAUAAAGUAGAAAUGUGUGUUCAGCUGGAAUUUUUUGAAGUCUGUCAAACAUUUUUCAAAUACCUACCAGCCGGACAGUCUUGUUCUUCUAAUGCAAAGUCCAGUUUUCCUGACUCUGCUCACCAUUCCAACCCUUGGAUUUUCAGGAUAUGAGGCAAUUUUCAACUGGAUGCAGACAGGGUAGCACUGAUUUUCUGCUACAGUAUUCUAUUUCAACAUGGAAAAUCAUCACACAGGAGGAAGCCUGUUCUGUGGUGGAAUUGCUUGGAGGAAGAACUUUCUGGUGGAGCACAGUAGUAACAUCAGUGAUUAAAACAAAACCGAUGUUAAAAGAGGAAGAUGAGUAAGGCUGCCAAGUGAAAUACUAGUGCAUGAAAUAAAGCUGAAUUAAUUAUAUUACAUGUACAUUAUAAUUUGAUUUUUGAUUAUGUGAUCACAUAUCUUUUUAAGAGGAUCAUCGCCUGAUUCAAUGCGUCUGAUAGGCUGCACUCACGUAACGUACUAAACAAUGUUCAGCCACAUUCUCCUUGUUCAGUGUGUGGCCAGAUGCCUUAUUUACUGCAAUCCUUUCUAAAAUUAGAAUUAUUAAUUUCCUCACAGGCCUUGAUGUGUUUUGUGUUGUGCUUGUG